GAUGAAGAACGCAGCGAAAUGCGAUAAGUAAUGUGAAUUGCAGAAUUCAGUGAAUCAUCGAGUCUUUGAACGCACGUUGCGCCCCCUGGUAUUCCGGGGGGCAUGCCUGUCCGAGCGUCAUUGCCGCCCUCAAGCACGGCUUGUGUGUUGGGCCCCCGCCCCCCGGCUUCGGGGGGCGGGCCCGAAAGGCAGCGGCGGCACCGCGUCCGGUCCUCGAGCGUAUGGGGCUUCGUCACCCGCUCUGUAGGCCCGGCCGGCGCCCGCCGGCGACCCCAAUCAAUCUUUCCAGGUUGACCUCGGAUCAGGUAGGGAUACCCGCUGAACUUAAGCAUAUCAAUAAGCGGAGGA
rnacentral:misc_RNA from 1 species